rnacentral:rRNA from 1 species
GACGAACGCUGGCGGCGUGCUUAACACAUGCAAGUCGAACGAAGUGGCGAACGGGUGAGUAACGCGUAAUAAACCUGCCCUUCAGAGGGGGACAACAGUUGGAAACGACUGCUAAUACCGCAUACUGAAGGAAGGGAUUGCGUCGGAUUCGCUAGGUGGGGGGGUAACGGCCCAACAAGGCGAAGAUCAGUAGCCUGUCUGAGGGGAUGAACGGCCACAAUGGGACUGAGACACGGCCCAGACUCCUACGGGGGGCAGCAGGGGGGAAUCUUCCGCAAUGGACGAAAGUCUGACGGAGCAACGCCGCGUGAGUGAUGACGGCCUUCGGGGUGUAAAGCUCUGUUAAUCGGGACGCGGUACCGGAAUAGAAAGCCACGGCUAACUACGUGCCAGCAGCCGCGGUAAUUC